CAUUUCUAUAGUGCCAACAUAUUCCAUAGCACUUUACAAUAUUAUAAAAGAGGGAGAUUUAAACAAUACAUUUGAAAAUUACACAAACUUACAGGAACAAUAGGUUGAAGAGGACCCUGCUCAAUCAAGCUUACAGUCUAGAAGAGUAGAAGAGGUGGGGAUUACUUUUAAUUUGAUAUACUAUUAAAAACUAUAUUCAUUCAAGAUCUAAAUGGAUGAAUUAGGGCUUCGUUACAGCUGCUUAAGAGAUAUUUGAGUUGCAG